rnacentral:tRNA from 1 species
GGCGGCGUAGCUCAGUUGGCCAGAGCAUUCGGUUCAUACCCGGAGUGUCGUUGGUUCGAAUCCGACCGCCGCUACCA